GUUGUAUGGUUAAGUGACUAAGCGUACACGGUGGAUGCCUUGGCAGUCAGAGGCGAUGAAAGGCGUAAUAACUUGCGAUAAGCCCAGAUUAGGUAGUAAUAACCUUUUGAGUCUGGGAUUCCUGAAUGGGGAAACCCACUUGCAUAAGCAAGUAUCCUGUUGUGAAUACAUAGCAACAGGAGGCAAA
rnacentral:rRNA from 1 species